rnacentral:rRNA from 1 species
GAUGAACGCUAGCGGCAGGCUUAACACAUGCAAGUCGAGGGGUAAGUCAUUUCGGUGACUGAGACCGGCGCACGGGUGCGUAACGCGUAUGUAAUCUACCUUUUACAGGGGGAUAGCCCAGAGAAAUUUGGAUUAAUACCCCAUAGUAUUAUUGAAUGGCAUCAUUUAAUAAUUAAAGUUCCAACGGUAAAAGAUGAGCAUGCGUCCCAUUAGCUAGAUGGUAAGGUAACGGCUUACCAUGGCGACGAUGGGUAGGGGUCCUGAGAGGGGGGUCCCCCACACUGGUACUGAGACACGGACCAGACUCCAACGGGAGGGAGCAGUGAGGAAUAUUGGUCAAUGGGCGCAAGCCUGAACCAGCCAUGCCGCGUGCAGGAUGACGGUCCUAUGGAUUGUAAACUGCUUUUGUACGGGAAGAAACACUCCUACGUGUAGGAACUUGACGGUACCGUAAGAAUAAGGAUCGGCUAACUCCGUGCCAGCAGCCGCCGUAAGAC